rnacentral:snoRNA from 1 species
AUGCAUCUCUUUGACAUAUCUGGAGCAGUUAUAUCUGCUUUUAAGGUUUCCACUCAGAUGCAAGAAAAAUUUUUCUCGAGCUUUCUCUCUGCAUGAUUGUGGCUGUCUAGAUCAAAUAGCGGAAUAUAAGA